rnacentral:lncRNA from 10 species
GCUCCUCCGGGCGAGUACUUCAGCGUUGGGAGCCAGGUGUCGUGCCGGACGUGCCAGGAGCAGCGGCUGCAGGGCGAGGUGGUAGCCUUUGACUACCAAUCCAAAAUGCUGGCUUUAAAAUGUCCCUCUUCCAGUGGAAAGCCCAACCAUGCAGACAUCUUGCUCAUAAACUUACAGUAUGUUUCAGAAGUGGAAAUAAUUAAUGACCGAACAGAAACCCCUCCUCCCCUAGCUUCACUCAAUGUUAGUAAGAGUUUCGCUCUUGUUGCCCAGCCUGGAGUUCAAUGGCACGGUCUCAGCUCACUGCAACCUC